GACGAACGCUGGCGGCGUGCUUAACACAUGCAAGUCGAACGGAAAGGCCCUGCCUUGGUGGGGUGCUCGGGUGGCGAACGGGUGAGUAACACGUGAGUUACCUGCCCUUGACUUUGGGGUAACUUCAGGAAACUGGGUCUAAUACCGGAUAGGAGCUCCUGCUGCAGGGUGGGGGUUGGAUAGUUUCGGCGGUUGGGGAUGGACUCGCGGCUUAUCAGCUUGAUGGUUGGGUAGUGGCUUACCAAGGCUUUGACGGGUAGCCGGCCUGAGCGGGUGACCGGCCAAAUUGGGACUGAGAUACGGCCCAGCCUCCUACGGGAGGCAGCAGUGGGGAAUAUUGCACAAUGGGCGGAAGCCUGAUGCAGCACCGCCGCGUGCGGGAUGAGGGCCUUCGGUUUGUAAACCGCUUUCGCCUGUGACGAAGCGUGAGUGACGGUAAUGGGUAAAGAAGCACCGGCUAACUACGUG
rnacentral:rRNA from 1 species